GAUGAACGCUAGCGGCAGGCUUAAUACAUGCAAGUCGAGGGGUAGCAAGAUUGUAGCAAUUCAAUUGUUGACGACCGGCAAACGGGUGCGGAACACGUACACAACCUUCCUACAAGUGGGGAAUAGCCCAGAGAAAUUUGGAUUAAUACCCCGUAACAUAGCGAUGUGGCAUCACAUUGCUAUUAUAGCUUCGGCGCUUGUUGAUGGGUGUGCGGCUGAUUAGAUAGUUGGCGGGGUAACGGCCCACCAAGUCUACGAUCAGUAGCUGAUGUGAGAGCAUGAUCAGCCACACGGGCACUGAGACGCGGGCCCGACUCCUACGGGAGGCAGCAGUAAGGAAUAUUGGACAAUGGACGCAAGUCUGAUCCAGCCAUGCCGCGUGAAGGAUUAAGGUCCUCUGGAUUGUAAACCUCUUUUAUAAGGGACGAAAAAAGGUCUUUCUAGAUCGUCUGACGGUACCUUAUGAAUAAGCACCGGCUAACUCCGUGCCAGCCGCCGCCGUAACAC
rnacentral:rRNA from 1 species